rnacentral:rRNA from 1 species
AUUGAACGCUGGCGGCAUGCCUUACACAUGCAAGUCGAACGGCAGCACGGGUGCUUGCACCUGGUGGCGAGCGGCGAACGGGUAAGUAAUACAUCGGAACGUACCUUAUCGUGGGGGGUAACGCAGCGAAAGUUGCGCUAAUACCGCAUACGCCCUGAGGGGGAAAGCGGGGGACCGUAAGGCCUCGCGCGAUUAGAGCGGCCGAUGUCUGAUUAGCUUGUUGGUGAGGUAAAAGCUCACCAAGGCGAUGAUCAGUAGCUGGUCUGAGAGGACGAUCAGCCACACUGGGACUGAGACACGGCCCAGACUCCUAUGGGAGGCAGCAGUGGGGAAUUUUGGACAAUGGGGGCAACCCUGAUCCAGCAAUGCCGCGUGAGUGAAGAAGGCCUUCGGGUUGUAAAGCUCUUUUGUCAGGGAAGAAACAGCAGCUCUAACACAGUCUGCGAAUGACGGUACCUGAAGAAUAAGCACCGGCUAACUACGUGCCAGCAGCCGCCGUAA